UACAGAGGGUGCGAGCGUUGUCCGGAAUCACUGGGCGUAAAGGGCGCGUAGGCGGCUGGGUAAGCGUGUGGUGAAAGUCCGGGGCUCAACCCCGGAUCGGCCAUGCGAACUGUCCAGCUGGAGCACGGUAGAGGCACAUGGAAUUCCGGGUGUAGCGGUGGAAUGCGUAGAGAUCCGGAAGAACACCGGCGGCGAAGGCGGUGUGCUGGGCCGUAGCUGACGCUGAGGCGCGACAGCGUGGGGAGCAAACAGG
rnacentral:rRNA from 1 species